AACUACUACAGUUUUUUAUAAGUGAACAAGCCUAAGCGCACAUCUCAUAGUGCCUCAAAAAUAUAAAAACUCAAAUUUGGGACUUCUGACACAUGAUAUACCUAAAUCUGGUUAUCUACCUCAUCACGUAGCAUCAUCAAACUAAACACAUCUACAUAGAACUGAUUAUGUAAAAACUAUCUACAUAAACGAUAGUAUUAGUGAUAUUAGCAGAUAGCAUCUAGAACAAUCUCUAAUCUAUGAAGAAAUGAUAAAAUAAUCAUAACCCUUUCCCUUGCAACAAAGGUAUAACAUUGAUCAAUUUGAGAAUUCAGGACAUUGCUCUCCAGGGUUCCGAGAAGAGUCAUGCAUUUGUUCGAAGUAAGAUUUCUCUGCAUCCAGAACACCCUUAACAACAAAAAGAUAAAUUAGCCAUCUAUAAUGAAAACAGCAAACAUGUUCUGAUUCUAUAUGUUCGAAGCAGAACCUUAAUUAUUAGAAUAGCAGCAUCCUUGUGUAUCUCCUCAUUGAACUCGUGACAAGCCAUACUCUGAACAUGCAGAAACAACAAUUAAUUAUACUCUCAAUAAGAAUGACACAAAUAUUAGAGUCAAAAAGCAGUGACCAGUGAGGCAGACUUGAACACAACUCGGGCAACCAGUGAUUCCGAAGCAGUGGCAAGAUGUAAGAAGUUCCAAAGCAGCAU
rnacentral:misc_RNA from 1 species